CGGGUGGAUCAGGGCGUCGCUGUCCGCAAGGGCAGAGGAAAGUCCGGGCUCCGCAGGGUACUGGGCCUGGUAACACCAGGGCGGGGCGACCCGACGGAAAGUGCAACAGAGAACAAACCGCCGAUGGCCACGCAAGUGGAUCAGGCAAGGGUGAAACGGUGGGGUAAGAGCCCACCGCCGGACUGGCAACAGGACGGGCACGGCAAACCCCCCAGGGAGCAAGACCAAAUAGGCCGGCGCACCGCGCAAGCGGCGAGGGUUGACCCGACCGAGCCGGCGGGUAGGUCGCACGAGGUGGGUGGCGACAUCCAUCCCAGAGGAAUGACGCUCCACGACAGAACCCGGCUUACCGAUCCACCACGGCCC
rnacentral:RNase_P_RNA from 1 species